UACGUAGGGUGCAAGCGUUGUCCGGAAUUAUUGGGCGUAAAGAGCUCGUAGGCGGUUCGUCGCGUCGGCUGUGAAAUCCCGAGGCUCAACCUCGGGUCUGCAGUCGAUACGGGCGGACUGGAGUUCGGCAGGGGAGACUGGAAUUCCUGGUGUAGCGGUGAAAUGUGUAGAGAUCGGGAGGAACACCGGUGGCGAAGGCGGGUCUCUGGGCAUUUCCUGACGCUGAGGCGCGAAAGCGUGGGGAGCAAACGGG
rnacentral:rRNA from 1 species